GGGACAAGCCUUGCUCUCAGCCUGCAUCUUUCCAUGCACAAGUUGAACAACAUUUUUCAGCAGGCAGCAUCACCUUAGAGUUCCCUUCUGGAGCCCAGAGAGAAGCUCUGCCCCACCCACUCUGUCUGGCAAGCCUGUCUCCUUACAGGUAGGGAGGAUGGGUUUGUUUGCUACCCUCCAUGGCUGGGAAACA